rnacentral:rRNA from 1 species
UACAGAGGGUGCAAGCGUUGCUCGGAAUUAUUGGGCGUAAAGGGCAGGUAGGUGGUCUCAUUUGUCCGGGGUGAAAGCCUUAAGCUUAACUUAAGAAGUGCCCUGGAAACGGUGAGACUAGAGUGCUGGAGAGGGUCGCGGAAUACCCGGUGUAGCGGUGAAAUGCGUAGAGAUCGGGUGGAACACCAGAGGCGAAGGCGGCGACCUGGACAGUGACUGACACUCAACUGCGAAAGCGUGGGGAGCAAACAGG